AUUCUUGCUACAUACCGUAUUACUAGAAUAUUUUGCUGUUGGUGAAAAACCUUUGCGAAUCAGCCAAAUCGGCAACCCUUUGCGAUCUAACUAUUGCGUUCUGGCAAGGAUCGUGUGUAUUUACCCAAAAUUAGGUUUUGCAAUUUUAUUGUUUAAAAAUUCGCAUAAUUAUGCUCGUAAACAUUCUAGUAAUACGGUAACUGUGAGGAGUGUUGUUAUUAUGGUGGUUGGUUUGCAGGUCUGGGGAUAUGGCGGCCAACAGGGAAGCUCAGAGGAAGGCUACACACAAUGAAGGUGCUGCAAAUUCAAUACUGAAAGUUAGAGUGUACAACAGAUGUACAUGUACGUACGUGGUCAUAAUCAAAUAGAAGCAUUUCCCACAAAGUACAGUUACGAAGCUUUAACAUCAAAUCUGCCACUUCUAAAACUAGUGUUCAAGCUGGCGCUGUGCUAAUGCCUCUCGCCAUGUUUUUGCUUUCGCUCAAAAGUAUUAGAGUGUUAUCUAUAAUGAAUUUUAUAUUAAAGUUAGCUUAUCUAUAUAAAGUCACUGAGAAGAAAAGACUUAUUUACAUGCAUCUAUUGUUGUUAUUUAUUGUAUUAUGUGGCUUACCAGGACCUCAAGAAAGAAGAAAAUUGAUUCUUCCAGGAUCUGUAGUUCAGUGUAUAUAAUAUCUAAGAAGAAAAGACCUGUGUACAUGCAUAUUGUUAUCUAUAUUGUUAUAUGGUAGUGUUUUGUGGCUAAUACCAGGCCGUCAAGACAAAGAUGAUUCUGCCAGGAGGAUCUGGAUCUUGGAUAUCACACGUGGGGAAUGAGCGCGCAUGCGCAUUACAUCCACAGGAAUAAUUAAAGGGUGUGUCCAAAGAGAUAAAUGGCUACUGCUAGCUAGCUGUUUUAACAGAUAUUUUCUGAGUAUUGUAGCUAACAAAAAGCUAGCGCUUUAGUGCAAGGCUAACUCAUAUAUUGAAUAGAAAGUUUGUGAGGACAGAUGAUGCUAUGAAAGAUUCUGAAGAGACUGCAACAGCCUUCAAUUUGAGCGUCGGCGUCGGGACAGGAUCAACGAGCUCAUCAAGAUACUGGCUCAGAUAGUGCCUGCUUGUCAGAAGAAAGACGCAACUAUACUGGUUGCAUUGUCGGGUAUGUGUACAGCAAGGGAACGGUACUGGACAAGACAGUGGACUACUUGAAAGAGCUCGUAUUUCAAUCCUCUCAACAAUAAUGUAUAGUAUAUAUUAUAAAUGCUGUCACAAGCCAACAACAAUGGCGGGGGUGGUGGUGGUGGUGGUCUCUCUGCCGCGGCUGCUGCUAGUCUGCUCAACACUCUGAUUCUGGCUCAGAAUGUGCUCACAAGCAACUCAAGUGCUGGUAGCCCCGGGCAAGAUUCAAUGUCUAUGGAAACGGUGGACCAAUCCUCUCAACAGUAGUGUACAGUAUAUUAUAAUUGUGGACUGUUUAUACUGUUCUAGUUUUAACGUGUGUUUUUUAGUAAUCUCUCCUUCACUUACUAUAGCUACAUUGUCAGUAUUAUUAUGUAUACAUAGUUUUUAUACAUGAUAUUUGUGUGGAGCUCUUUGAGAAAAAUAUUGUAGCAAAGCCCAUUUAUAUGUAACCACGCCCAUUAUAAUUAUGUGCAGCCUAGCCUCCUUCUCAAGCGGCACUUCCUCGAAAGUUGGCCUGGUAAUCGACUGCUUGUGCAUGAGCUAACCAUUAGCUGGCAUUGAGAAGAACCUUCAUCAAGAACAAGGACACUGCCGAGGGUAGCACUUCAGUGCUCUAGUUCUAAUUGUAGAUUGACUGAUCGAUUUGUCUUCUGUACUAUUGUUUGAUUUUUCCGCCCCUCAUCUUUUCCGGCCCCCAGUUAUGCAGCCAUUUUUCAGCCCGGCCAAGUGUUGAGGAGACAAGAAGAGGCACUGAGAAUGGAGGUAGAGGCGUACUAUGCUGCUAAGAAGGCCACUCAGUGUGACUAUGACCGUGUGACUCUUUAACCCCUCAGUUCCAUUAGGAUAACUGGGGGCCAGAAAAGAUAAGCCUACUAUGCUGCUAAGAAAGAGAGGGGCCUCACGUAAACUGGCCACUCAGUGUGACUAUGAUCAUGUGACUCUUUAACCCCUCAGUUCCCGAGCCCCACCCCUCACUGUCUGACUCGGAAGAGGAGAUAGACUUUGUAUUCUGGGAGAAGGCGUCCACCCUACCCUCGGACAAGACCCCAACCAAGGACCUGAACUUGUUAUGAGGCUGUUAAAUAUUAUUUUGUCUGUUUUUGUACUAUUUUCUGGCAAUGUAAUUAUGUAUGUACCACUUCAUGUCAUCAUAAUAACUAUAAUUAUGCGAUAAAA